CAUAUGCCACAGGUGUGGCCCUAAAAAGCAAAAAAUAAAUAAAUAAAUAAGCAAUGACACUCAGCGAGGCCCCAUAGCAGGUGGGUGCUGGCCCAGUGGGACCUGCAUCAGCAUCGUCUUGUUGGCUCCCUCGUGCCACCCCAGGGUCCUCUGUGCCUGGUCCCCUCGGUGCUCUCCUCUCUGGGCAUCUUCUAGGUCUCUGUUGUCCCAGGCUUCCCCCACCUCCAGCCCCCAUCCCCCACAGCCUCCAUCUGGGGAUCCACCCAGCAACACUUACAGCUCACUUCUACUCACCUUGGUUUUCAUUUUUUUUUCAUUGAUAAUGAUUUUUAUUUUUUCCAUUAUAGCUGGUUUACAGUGUUCUGUCAAUUUUCUACUGUACAGCAAGGUGACCCAGUUACACAUACAUGUAUACAUUCUUUUUUCUCACAUUGUCAUGCUCCAUCAUACGUGACCAGAUAUAGUUCACAGUGCUACGCAGCAGGAUCUCAUAAAUGUCACUUUUCAGCAAAGCAUUCCCUGACGCCAUUCCUUCCCUCCAUGUCACCAAGACUGCGUGUCACAUUUCGUUACCUCCUUUCUGUGCUGAGAAAGGCAGCCUCUUGCCCAAGGCUGAGCAUGGGUACACGGGGCAGGCUGAGGGGAGGCAGGCGCCUUGGCCCCGUGAGGUGUGGCCAACAGGCUGCAAAUGGAAACCCAGGACCUGCAGACGGAGAGGCGGGGGUUCCCUGAGUUUCCUGUGGCCUCACGCUCCGUGUCCCAGACCAGCUGCUGGAGAACCACAGCCCAGGUCAAUGACAAAGACAAGAGAAAAAUGGCUCCAAGGAUGUGGGAUCCAGAAACAGACACACCAGCCAGAGAGAAAACAGAUGGACAACAGAAAUCAGUGAACGUAAAGACAGGAUGGUGGACAUGGUGAAAACUGGACAAGAAAGAGAAAAUGGACUGAAUAAGAAACCAGCAGAGCCCCAAUGACCUGUGGGCUUAAACAAAAAAAUCUAACACUUUUGUCAGGAGAAUUCCAGGAGGAGAGGAAAAGCAGGUAUGGCUAAAAAGUAAGGAGGAACCAAUGGCUAAAAACUGCCCAGAUUUGCAAAAGACACACACGUAAAUUCAAGAAUCUGAGCGAACAGAUGAAGUUAAAGAAAUCCAUGACAAAAAUAUAUCGCAGUCAAAGGGUAUCAAAGUCAAAAUACUUCUAUUCUCACACUAAAGGCAAAGAAAAUGGAAAUAAUGAGAGAAAGAAUGCCUUCCCUCUAGGGUGAAAAGAAACAAUUACAGUGUAAUACUUCAGAAACCUGGGGAGGGGGAACUAACACCAGGCUGAAAGGACGGAUUAUCAGCCCACAAUCCUAUACCCAGUGAGAAUAUCCUCCAGGAAUAAGGAAGAAAUCAAGAGAUUCUUAAUAAAGUAAAACCAAGACAAUGUAUGAGCAGCACACUUUUCCUGAAAGAAUGGCUGAAAGAUAUUUUCUAAACAGAAAAUAAAUGACUGUGAGGAGGUAAGAAAGAACAGUGGGAAAAAAGUCAACGUAUGAUUAAGGACAGUAGACUUAGUCCUUUGUUUUGUGUUUUCUAAAUUAUGACUGAUGGCUGCAAAAAUAAUCACACUGGUUGAUGAAGCCGUCGAGAUGAUCACCUUGCAAAUGGAGAAGGAUGGAGGGAAAGUAAGAUGUGUACACUUCCCUUCAACUGUUGAGUGACAACGGAACCAGACCCUGUGCAAAUACAAUGCCGUACCGGUGACACUCAAGGAAAAAAAGCUUUGCAGGCAUAUAUGCUUAAGAAUACGAAAGAUAAAUCCAAGUAGAAGUACAAAUACAUUGUUUAAGUAACCUUCAGCAAGAAAAAAGAUGAGAAAGCACACACACACACACACACGAAAAAGAAACAGAGAGAACAAAUAGAACACAAAAAAUCAAGUGGGAAACUAAAGCCCCAGCAUAUCACAAGCUGUCUUAAAAGUAAAUCAACUGCAUAUACCAAUUAAAUGGCAGAGAUUGGUAGAUUCGAUUUUUUAAAAGAUGAUCCAGCUUUAGACUCUGUAGAAGAAAUUCACUUCAAAUAAUGCAACAUAGGUAGAUUGAAAGUUAAAGGAUGAAAAAAGAUCUCUCAGGAAAACAUAAGCAAAAGGAAGCAAAAUUGGAUAUAGUAAUUGAAAGAUAUUGUGUUGAUGAAAGACAAUAUUGUUAAAUUCUACUAAACUUGGUCUAUAGGUUCAAAGCAGUCCUCAUAACACUCUAGCUAGUUAUUUUAUGGAUAUCCCAAACCUGAUUUAUAGUUUAUUUCAAAAACAAAAGACCCAGAAAAGCCAACAAGAAACUGAGGAAGGAGGAUAAAGCUAGGUGACUUGCCUUCAUUCCUGCGGGACCUGGCGUGCCCCCUGCUACCACUUUACUCUUCCUCGUGCAGCAGCAUCGUUCUGCUCACUGCGAGGAGGUGCUUCUGACUUCUGGCCACCUCCAGCUGCCAAAAGCUGCUUUCUGUGCCCAGCUUCUGCCCUUCUAUAAUAACUUCUGUAAUGUCUCGGAAGGCUGUAGAACAUGCUUGUAACCGCUCGUUUACCAGUGUCCAUAGAAAUUAUGUGUGCAUGGAUGCUGGGGCUGUUUCCCAUUCAUCAGUGUUUCCUCCACGUAAGAACAACGCUUGAUGCAUAGUAGUAAUUUAAUCCAUACUAUACGCUAAUUAGAAAUUAAGGAUGAGAUGCUGAAGGAAGGAUGUGGGUCCCUGCAGACCAGCUCAGCAGGAUGGGGCUGAAGAACAGGUGCUGUGAAACUUAAGGGAAAAAGUUAACAUAAAACAGGACAGAGACAUUUAUCUUAAAUAAAGGUGGGAACUGGGGGACUCAAGGUCUCAGGACCAAGAGCCCCGCCUCAAGAAACCACACUGCUUUUAUUAUGCUCUUUAGGAUUACGUCAAGUGAGGAGGGGGCUAUGGGUGGGUGGAGGAUAUAGGGUUUAUUAUUUUAUAAGUUCUUUUAUUAUUUUAAAAGUCACUUAGCUGGUAAAAGGUUAAGCUUUUAUUCUGACCUUUAGGCCCAUAACAAUCAUUACCAUUUGAGUUAGCUGUCUGCAUAGCAUUUCAGAGAAUCUUCACUGUGCUUCCACAAAUGGCAUGCCUAUUUGCAGCAACCCCGUGUGCCUAGGUUUGCACCUUGGUUCUCUUUGCUAAUGCAUAUUCUGCUAACAACCGCUCAUAAUCCACUUGGCCAUGAGGUUCCUCUUUCUCUUAUACCUUAGAGGACAUAUCAUGCUUGUGCAAACGGCGUGCCAAUCUGCACAGGUCCAGUGUGUCUAGACCAACGCCUUACGUCCUCAUUCGCCUGACCCUAUGAAUAGCUUAUGCCUUUAGGUCUUUGUUCUUAAGCUUAAGUCAUUUACCAGCACUGUGACUGUUUUGCAAGCAGGAAGAUGGGAUAAAGUAAAGCAGGAAGAUGGGAUAAAGUAAAGCAGGACAAGAUGGAGUUUUCAGCAAAGAGGCUAAGAAAAUAUUGUAGAAACAUGUCUCUGACAGGUCCCUUCAUGUCACUUUGCCCAGUAUAACUUCUUUCAGAUGAAACGUCCCCCACACACAUUUUAUAGAAUUUGCUCAUGAUGACUUUCAUGUGUAAUUCCUCCACAUUAUAAAAAUUUCAUAAAUGUGAGUGAUAAGAAAUAACAUUUUUAUUUCAUUGAUAAUAGGUGUUAUCAAAACAUCGCCUACAUAUGAUUCGAUUAUAAAUAUAAAAACUACAAAGAAGGGAUUCACGGCAAACUUUUUUUAUUAUCUCAAGUUCAAUAGAUGCCUUUCAUCCAGGGAAACACACAUUUAAUGAAGUAAUAGCACCUCAAACUAGCAUGAAUAUGCUUUGGUUGAAUGACACGUUCAAAUAUACUUCAAACUCAUCAACCCAGCUCUGGAAACAGAUAUAAGUAACUGACAUUAACCGAGCUUUGCUAAAAUGUU
rnacentral:lncRNA from 1 species